AUUGGAGAUGGGGACCGCCCUGGACAUCAAGAUUAAAAGAGCGAAUAAAGUUUAUCACGCCGGGCCUAUCCAGAUUAUCAACAGCAACAUAGAAAUGGUGAAGCCAGGGAAGUUUCCCAGCGGCAAAACAGAAAUCCCUUUUGAAUUUCCUCUGCACGUGAAGGGUAACAAAGUUCUGUAUGAGACGUAUCAUGGCGUGUUUGUCAACAUUCAGGUAAGAGCUUCCUAGUGCCACGCGACUGACUUCACAAGUUUUCUUCUGAAAAACGGUGUGGUCUUUCUCUCAACAUUAGUAGACGGGCCCAAGAAUUUAAUACU
rnacentral:sRNA from 1 species